GGUGAGCCAGUACGUUGUUUUAGUUUCUCCCACUUGCAGGAAGUGCAUUGAACUUUUUCUUUUAAGCUUUAGAUUCUGCAUUGAAUGUUUUAUUUAGACAAUGUUAAGGUGGGGGUGGGGGUGUGUGUGCAUAUUCAUACAUACGUAUACAUAAUAUGGUUAUGCACACACGAGGACACUAGGAUGACCUGGGAGAUGUUUGGCUUCUGGAGACCUGCCUGAUGACAGCAUCUAAUGAAGUGAGCUUCAGCUCAUGAAAGCUUGUGCUAUAUAUUAUAUAAACUAACCAAAGUGUGUGCGUGCAUGUGUGUCUGUGCGUUCAAUGUUGUGGUGGUCAUGUCUUUUUAGGGAAGGAAAAGUGUAGCAUGGAAAACAUGAGGUUGACCAUCUUCUAGGGCUUGGGGCAGAGCCUGUUCAUUUUCUCUUUUGCUGGAUACCGUAUUGUCUUGCAUAUGACACACCCUGAAGUAUAGCAUGUGCCUUGCUUUUGAAAGUCAGAAUGAAGAAGGAAAAGAUCUUUUCUUGUAAUAAGUAAAUGGAGUAGUGGGAGCUGAGCCUGCCCGUUGUUCUGCUUCCUGUGGAUCGGUGCUGAUUUUACUUUGUUUCGCCUAAAAGCGGCAGAACUUGCGCUUACCUUCUCUCUCGCAUGUAAUCCAGAUUCCAGUUUCCAGCAGCUGUGUUUGUUUGGUUUUUUGUUUUGAAAGGCUUGUUGUAUACCAGAAAAUACGGUAACUGAAGGUUGAGCUAGAUCUGUGUUGGACACUGCCCUCUUGCACGUGGUGAUCUAUUGUAUCAGAAGAUGUAGCUGUGUUUUUUUUAUAGAACCGUUGUAGAAAGUAAAAGUUAAUAUGUGAAGUUUUUUAAUAGGGCAUUUUUUUUUUUUAAGGAGAUAAGCUCAAAAAAACAAAGCUUUAUUGCCUGUUAACAAAGGAACUAGAUUAAAAUUUAAAACCUUGUAGUAAUUUUUCUUGAGUAUUUGAGGUUUAACUGUAUGACGUUCAGCUUGGAUAGCAAAAUUUAAGAUGGUUUGUAGUAACUUUCCAUGUGUUUGGUUUCACUUUUUGUUUUUUAUCUCUUACCUUAUUUCAUACAAUGCAGUUGCACAUAGUGCUUGAGGAAUAUUUACGUAAGCCAUUAUUAUUUUUAUUAAAAAGCAUGUAAAAAUUUUUUUUGAAAAACUUCUAAAGGUUUGGGCCUGUACUUUACCUGGUAGCAUCCUUAAGGUUACAUUUGUUGUAUUUCAGUUAUAAGGUGACUGUUUUAUUUUGGUUGUCACAUGAGUGCUGAGAUGAGUACGAAACUACUGAAUAUUGCUUUUGAUGUGUUGCUUUUUAAAUCCAAGAAGUUGUUAUUGCUUUGGUAGCAGUUGUGUAGUAUUAUAUGGCCUUUAACAUAUGAACGUCUCAAGAAAGGUGUUGAUCUCUGUUUCUAAGUAUUUCUUUUUGUUGUCUAGUUUACAAAUUAUCAGUAUCUAAACAUAGCACCAGCAGGGUACCGGGUGCUUAACAGGGUGGUGCAAAGUCAAGCUUUUUUCCUUCGGGGAACUGCUUCACUAUAUAACAGUGGACAAAUACUAUUGGCAGGGGAGGCAUUUUGGGGUGGGUAAUGACAGACUAGUCAAGUUUUGAGUGCAUCAUGUCAGAUUUGUGACUUUAGAAAAGUUGCCUGGUGUUCAGGAAGACUUUACAGCAAAACAUCUUUUUAGCUUGUGCUGUUGGUGUUUUUUUAGAAACUUGAUAUUUAUUCAGCAAUGGAGUUUACAGCGGUUUGACCAAUCACUUAAUUUACUGCCAAGACAAAAAAAGUUUGACUGUAAGAUGGCUCAUUAGGUCUGGAGGCAACUGGGCUUGAUAAUGGUCAUAACUAACUUUUAAACACUGGGCUUUAAAGUAGAAAAGAAGAUUAUGUAGCAGCAUUACUAUAUUGUUGAUGGGUGUUAAUAUUUGGUUGAGUAGACACUUUUAAAUAUAAUUUUGAUAUUUGUUCUGCUCUCAUUAAAAAGAGAACCUAUAUUUGUUAAUGAACUGAAUCUUGGUAAAGGCUGAGAAAUGUCAUUAACUUCCGUAUAAACUGUAAUUCGCACAUUGACAGAAAACUAAGGUAACAGUAGGGAUCAUUUGAUAAUGUGCCACAAGAACAUGGACUUUUAAAUGAAACUUCAGUGGCAAAAUUGUGCACAUUGGAACGAAUUGUCACAGCAGAACAAUACUUGCCAUGUCAAACACAUCAUGCAGGCACUUACUAAGAGGUCCACUUGUAACGGGGGGCAGAAGUACUUUUUAAAUAUGAUACAGAUAUAGAGAUCUAGUGUAAUAUUUAGAGAGAGAGAGAAAUAUCAACUCAUUGCUGCUUUUGUGUUUGCAAAUAGCUUGAGAGCCAGUAUAAAUGUUAAUUAAGUACUCAGUCCCCUGUGAAUGAAAAUAUUAGUAGUGUGUUAGCUUGCACAACAGAGAUCUAAUUUUACACAUGACUACGCAAAAGCCUUGCUAGUUUGCCAGGUUCCCUACUGUAUGAAUGGGAGAGCCUCUUGCUGAGGUAAAUGGCAUAUUCUCAAAUAUGUUAGUCAGGCUUUAUCAGUUUAUCAACUUGUCAAAUUUUCCUAGUCAAAAUAACAUUUGAGACGAUAACCGUAGGGAUAAGUGCUUUGCAUGACCUUCUGUCUGUGAAUCGGUGAGAAGCAGGUGAUGUAAGUGGUUGGUAAUUUUCGUGAGGGAGCUUUGGAUGACAAAUACGGUAAAUAGUGUGGUGCAUUCAAAACUGGGACCACGAGAAACCUGUGAUGACUUUGACCCCAGUUGCUGAAAAUUGUGCUGCUGCUGCUUCUAAUUUACCCUUUUUCUGUAGUUCUUACUUUUUCUCUUGCUCUUCACAUAUUCAGGGGUGUAGGACGGCUUCCAAGAUGCUCUCCCGUUCCUUUUAAGGUGGCAUGGAUGGGGAGGCUUUCUGAGCUGGAUGCUGCCAUGGUUCGUCUUUUGUCUGCUCCUUAUAUUUGUAUUCUUCCCACUGCUCUGAAACCCCUUUCAUCUUAUUUGACUCUUUCACUUGUAUUAAUGAGCUGGGCCUGCUUUGAAGACUCUCUUUUGACAUGGGGGCUUAUUAAUAUCGUUCUGUUGUACCGAACACUUGGAUUCUGACAGUAAAAAUGGUUAGAGAGUUGGCUCGGAUUCCAGUUUGGGAUAUAACUUACAAAAGAAGUAACAAAAAUGUGCUACUGUGUUUUCACUGAAGGUGCUAUGAAGUUGCAUGUUUUUGAAUCUAUAAAUCUCUUUCUAUGCUUGCUAUUUUUUCAUUAAAGAGAGCUUAGACUAGAGGUAAUUACUUAGAAUACCUACAGGUGUAUGCAGGACUCGACUUCAUACGUGUGUGGCUUUGCUUUAGUUUGCGCCUUUGAGAUGGUACAUAGUACUACGCAGAGCUGUAAAGUUGCCUUAAGUUGUUGCUUGGGAUUGCCAUGUUUCAUAACAAAGACGUUGCUGUAUAACUUUGUAUACUCUACAACCCCUUUUUAGCUCCUUUUAUUUUGCAUUCUUUGAAAUUCUUGAUUGUAUAUACAGCAGGGUGCAUGUUUUAGUUCCUUCCCAUCCCCCUUUCCAUCCACUUUGCCCCUCCCCCCCAAAUGCUGACAUCACUUACAGGUGUGAAGUUUGUUAGUUCUCAGAGCUUGCAAUUCUAGCAAUUUCAGAGGCUUGAAGGCGUAAAAAGUUUGCAGAAUGGGUUCUAACUUAAUUGUUGUCUUGAAGAAACUAAAGAGGCAACUUGAGCUUGACAUGCAUCUAAAUGGGAAAAUGUAUCUGAAGCUGGAACUUUCCUUAACCUAGCACCCAGGCAGCAGAACUUCCAAGAGCAAGAAGAUAAAAUUCAUCCUGGAUGAAUCCAAAUGGGAAGUAAGGUGUAGAAAUUUAGCAGUAAUUAACUAUUAGAAUGGUUUACCACAUGAUGUAGAGCAGGGGGUAUCAAACUCAUUAGGCCCAGCGGGCCAGAUGAAUGACAUGGAACUGAUCUGCGGGUUGGAUUGGGCCCACAGGCUGGCCCCAUAUGCUAGAUCCAGUGCACAAGGUGGUUCAGGAUGGGUGCUGCGAGCAUCCCUGGCCCUGCACACAGGGCUGGUCUAUCUGGCUUGUACUGUGCCUGGCAUGAGGGCCCAGUGUAAAGCCCGCAGGCAGCACAGCAGGCUGUAUAAUAGGGCUCUGUGGGCUGAUCUGGCCCAUGGGCCAUAUCUUUGACAACCCUGAUGUAGAUGUUUCUCUCUGUUGGAGUUUUUUCCAUAGAAUUAUAGCAACUGUACAUUAAACUCUACAUUGUUUCCUAUAGAAAAUGUAUUCAAACAGAGUCAUGACUUACUGGGCUGGAUGUAGAGAUCGUUGAUUGAAAUUUUGUGUCUCUGGCUUUCUUCAGGAGAGAUCAAACUAUAUUAUUAAUAUUCUAGUAAGAACCUUCACAGUAGUAGAGUAGAUAUGUGCAGCACUAAGCACUGCCAAAGAAGUGUUACCUGUUUUGGCCAAUAGCUUGCACUUAAGGUGUGUUGUUUGUAUCUAUAGGAAUCUGAACUUUUGCUGGAUGACAUCUUUUCACAUAAAAAGACAAGUUUGACAUCCCUUCUUGUUGUUAGUGUUUCUAAUGUUGGACAACAUUUACUUGUAGAAGUGUGUAGCUUGCGGUACAAUGCCUGGAUCCUCUGGUAUCAGUUAAGAACCAAACAGGUGAUUAAGGCAGAUGACCUAACUAACCUCCAUGUCCUAAAAAAUGCACUAAGUAUUUAAGUUUUCUCUGAACAUUAUAUUUAUGCUGCAAUUAAUGUACACCCAAUUUAAGAUGCCUUAAAAUGACAAACCAGCCAUAAAAAUGUUCCAUGUUUAAUGUAGGACACUUUUAUGGAUGGUUUUCAUAGUGCCUUAAAUUGAACCUGUGGCAUGUCCAGAGCUCUCCCAAGGCCAAUUAACAAUUGACAGCAGGGUCUCAAACUGGCUCUGGUGUGGUCCUGAGGCCAGGGUUGACACUUGGCUGAUUGUCAGCUCCAGACCCACACUGGGUUACGUUGCGUGGGCACCAAAUUUUCAACUUGCUGGUGCAGACGAAGCCUAGGAUCAUGAUGCUAGGCUCCCUCAGCACUAGCAACUAGAAAGGAUGCAAUUUGGAUCUGAUCCAUGAUCCCAAAAUCAUGUCUCUUGCUAUGCCUCAUGGCAUUGGGGUCAUAUCCCAUGGUGCUUUUAAAUGAACGUGAGCCAGGAGCCUUAAAUAUGCCAUUUUCAUCCACUGUGGAUUUCAAAUAUGUGAGCUCCAGUUCAAUACAUACAGCUAUUUACACCUUUCUAGAAAUGUAAAUACAUAUCUAUGUCAUCCAUGCUUGUGGAUCCUGCCAAAUUCUAGAAUAUCCUCAUGGAAUACCUUAACUCUGCUUCCUAAUAAACAUUUGUAGUUUUUUAAAUAAAAACAGGUAUUAGACAAGAGGAUUGAAGCUUCAAAUCCGUACCCAGUUAGUUGUUUGAAGCAGUAAUUUAAACACACAAUAAUGAAUGCUUAGAAGAUCAGAAUAGGCUCUAACCAGCAUGAUUUUUGUAAAGGAAAAAUUGUGUUUCACUAAUCUGUUAAUAUGAUUAAGCUGAAGGAGAAUUUUAGCUAUCCUAACUGGUCAAAUGUCAGAACAGGGUAAAGUUCCAAGAAACAGGCUUUAAAGAGAUUACUUCCUAGAAUGACCAGUCCUUGAGAAUAUGGGAGAAGUUAGUGACAAGCCCUUAGUAGACUAUUCUUGAAAGAUAUUUCAUAUUUACUUGUGAAGAGAAACAGAUUCAGUCUGUAGAAUGCCAAGAUGUACAAGAUACUGGAUAUUGGUCCUGAUGAAGAAGAGCUCUGUUCAGAAGCAGUCCAGAGUCACAGUUGAGGAAGGAGCUCCUGUAGGAUUGUAAAAAUGCCAGGAGAGUGACAAGAUCUGAUGGAGCCUGCAAGACCUGCAUUUCCUAUAAGGAGAGCUCAACAGGAUCUGUUCUCUUGAGAGAGCCUUCUGAUGAUCCAGGACAUGGUCUGGACCAGCACUGAAAUCACUUUAGACGGGGCCCUAAACAGAAGGAAGCCUAUUACAAGUAUUCAAGAUCUCUUCUGUGUGCAAACUGCCAGUGUAAACAUAGUACCAGAAGAAACCUAGGAAUCCAGGCAGAGAACCAGCCUCAGUGUGCAAGGAGAGAACUGCUUUCAUACAGAACAUACAGGAGUGUUAUCCAUGGCUGAAUACUUGACAAAUCACCAAGGGAAGAGAGGAUGUAUUUAGUGACUUCAUGGCAACAUCCCAGCAGAGGCAGAAGGCUAACGCUUUCCUUCAUCAUGUUACCAAGGAGCACAGGGAACUGCUAAAGAAGUUCAUUAACAAAGAGCCCAGAUGUUAGGGCAGAUGAUGUAGAGGUAGACAAUCCUGCUAACAAAUUUAAUGCUGCUUUUGUUAAUUUUUGCCUGCAGCCUAGUUGCAUCCCGUAGCCCCACGAAAACAUUGGGUAGUAGGAGUGUUCUUUGCCUUCCCCAGCUUCAAAGAACAAACCACUUCUCCAGCCCUAGCUCUAUUUACACAAUAGUGUUUACCCGUCUUUUACACAUCCCGGUGAUCUCAAAUGUGUGUCCAGAGCAUUUUAGGCAUAUUUGUUACAGUCCCAUUGCGUUCAGUAAUCUAGGCUGGGCUCAGGCAGCUGGAGAAGGAAUCCAUUAGAGUUCUUAGACAAGGAGUUUUUAAGUGGGCACUGCUAUGUUCAAUAAAGGCGUUUAUUAUUUACA